UCGCAGUGAUCAUCAUUAUAGCCUAGCAGCACACAUAUGUAGCAAAAGGUGCUCAGCUUCUCGUAUUUAAAUGUGACUUCUGUCACUUCUCCUCCAGGUUUGCGGAUCUUCUUGGAACACUUGAGAGGUUGUAGGACAUCAAGCAUGACACGAACUCACAUAUAUGGCCUCCAAAAGUUUGAAGUGUUUUUCUCAUCAUACUCUAAAAAAUCUCCCAGAUAGUUUGCUAUACUCUAACCCACUACCAUAGACAUAAAUCCCGAAGGUAGGUUACAUAUUUGAACCCUGAAUAGCUGUAUAUGGCUAGGGUUUUCCCCUCCUCUGAUCACGCUAAGCAACAAAAGGUGUCUGUCAAAGGACAAAGGGCCUCCUUUGAGAACAUAUGAAAGAAUCGGAACAUAAAG
rnacentral:lncRNA from 1 species